CUCCCGUUGAUCCUGCGAGACCUGACUGCUAUCGGAUUGGUACUAAGCCAUGCGAGUCGUUGUAGCAAUACAAGGCGGACUGCUCAGUAACACGUAGUUAAUCUAACCUAUGGACGGGGAUAACCUCGGGAAACUGAGAAUAAUCCCCGAUAGAUCACAGUGCCUGGAAUGGCUUGUGGUUCAAAUGAUUUAUCGCCGUAGGAUGGGACUGCGGCCUAUCAGCUAGUUGGUGAGGUAAUGGCCCACCAAGGCUAUAACAGGUACGGGCUCUGAGAGGAGGGGCCCGGAGAUGGGUACUGAGACACGGACCCAGGCCCUAUGGGGCGCAGCAGGCGAGAAACCUUUGCAAUGUGCGAAAGCACGACAAGGUUAAUCCGAGUGUCUCCUGCUAAAGGAGUCUUUUGUCAGUCGUAGAACCACUGGUGAAUAAGGGGUGGGCAAGUUCUGGUGCCAGCAGCCGCGGUAAU
rnacentral:rRNA from 1 species